rnacentral:rRNA from 1 species
UACGUAGGCAGCAAGCGUUGUUCGGAAUUACUGGGCGUAAAGAGUGUGUAGGCGGUGCUCUAAGUUUGGUGUGAAAUCUCCCGGCUUAACUGGGAGGGUGCGCCGAAAACUGGAAUGCUUGAACAUGGGAGAGGAAAGCGGAAUUCCUGGUGUAGCGGUGAAAUGCGUAGAUAUCAGGAGGAACACCUGCGGUGUAGACGGCUUUCUGGACCAUUGUUGACGCUGAGACACGAAAGCGUGGGGAGCGAACAGG